rnacentral:lncRNA from 1 species
UUGUCGAACAUGCUCGACGCAUGGUAAUUGUUACUAUUUUUUAAAGUUAUAUUUUGAUUUAUCAUAUAUUUUUAAUUAAAUUAAAUUUUAUCAUUUAGGGUAAGAGUUUGGGGAGACUUCCACUAAUGAAAGAGCUGGGUAUAAAGACCCGGACAAAAAUAUCGGGGGAAUUUGUUGACGAACGUACCAAGAAAGCUUUGGUAAGUUAUUUUAUUUAAACUGUUUAUAUAUUUUUUUAUUUAAUGGCAACUUUGUGGCGUGAUUUUCAUG